CGUCACAAGUGCAGCGUCGCUAUGAAGUUGUCCGCGCGGAAAAUGAAAUCGUUUCGUUUCUUUAAUUAUAUUUACUUUUUAUAUUUACUUUUUAUAGAAUGCGGCGUACGCUAAAAGGAUCAACUUCGGAAUGAACAGCGUUACGAUUUAUCUAAUUGAUCGUAUGAUUGUAUGUACUACAAUUCUAUUAUUACACAUCGUGGGAAUAUAAUCUAAAAAGGAAAUCUGACAACUCGGAAGCAAAUUAGACUUAAGGGAGAUAUCGGGUUUUGGUGGAACUUUGCGAUUCAUCAUAGCGACGUAGAUCUGAUAACUCCACUAUUGCGCAUCAAUCGGUGAGUAAUAAAAAAAUUUAUAAAUGAGGUAACAAAACUGUGAAAUCU